CCAGCAGGGACAGGGUCAUCUUCCAGUUCAGGCCGCCGGUGUCGUCGAUGGAGCUGGUGAUGUUGAGAGUCUGACGGUACCAGAAAUAUAACCUUUUUUUGCAGAGGGAACAAUGAAAAGAAGAGCAGCAGGCACUGUAAGACAACAAGUCACAUCGAGCCUAUCCAGCUUACGUCAGGACAUGAAGGGGCUCCAUGGUGACAAAACCAUACGCAGCCAGAGAGGACGAGCUCUCGCUGACGGACAGCAGGGCGGAGCAGCCUGUCUCCAGUCUAAAAACAAAUGACGUUUGACUCGAUCAAAAACACUGAUCACGUCGUGAGUGGCUAUUAGAGCUACAGCAGCAAACAGAGGAAACAAAGACAGGGACACAGUGUCGUGUUGCACAGUAGUAUUAUUAUCUGGACCGUCAGAAGUGACUGUUGUGCUGCUACUGCCUGCUUUCACUGAUCUUUGAUGUCUAUUCUGAGCAGCAGAUGCACACAACAGAGGAAAUCAAAACGAGUUGGUGGUGAGGAGAUCAAUACAUGGUAAACCAGAGGAUGAUUCUGGUAAUUUUAAAUACACAUUACCCUUUUCUCUGACUCUGAUUUUCUGUGGUUAAAAAUAUGUUCUUGAAUGCAGUAUUUAUGGCAGUUCCUGUUUUAUUUUGAAAUGUGUUCCUCUUGUGUUUAGUGUUAUUUUUACUUCCUGAGUUUUCCCACUUGUGUUGAUUAUCUCAUAUGGUUCACCUGUGCCUUCUUUCACCUGUGUGUAGUUAGUAAUCAGCCCUUGUGUAUUUAAAGCCCAGUGUUUCCCAUA